UCGGGAAUUUUGCGCAAUGGGCGAAAGCCUGACGCAGCAACGCCGCGUGAGGGAUGAAGGCCUUCGGGUUGUAAACCUCUUUUCUCAGGGAAGAUGAUGACGGUACCUGAGGAAGAAGCCACGGCUAACUACGUGCCAGCAGCCGCGGUAAUACGUAGGUGGCGAGCGUUGUCCGGAUUUACUGGGCGUAAAGAGCGCGCAGGCGGUCGUGCAAGUCGCGUGUGAAAGCCCCCGGCUCAACUGGGGAGGGUCACGCGAUACUGCUCGGCUCGAAGGCAGGAGAGGGAAGUGGAAUUCCCGGUGUAGUGGUGAAAUGCGUAGAUAUCGGGAGGAACACCAGUGGCGAAGGCGACUUCCUGGCCUGUUCUUGACGCUGAGGCGCGAAAGCUAGGGGAGCAAACGGGAUUAGAUACCCCGGUAGUCCUAGCCUUAAACGAUGGACACUAGGUGUUGGUGGUAUCAACCCCGCCAGUGCCGAAGCUAACGCAUUAAGUGUCCCGCCUGGGG
rnacentral:rRNA from 1 species